rnacentral:rRNA from 1 species
UUUAGAGUUUGAUCCUGCUUCAGGACGAACGCUGGCGGCGUGCUUAAUACAUGCAAGUCGAACGCUGAAGCACUCUGCUUGCAGAGUGCGGAUGAGUGGCGAACGGGUGAGUAACACGUGGGGAAUCUGCCUAGGAGUGGGGGAUAACAUUCGGAAACGGAUGCUAAUACCGCAUAUCUUCAUAGACCGCAUGGUCUAUGAAUGAAAGACGGCUUUGCUGUCGCUCUUAGAUGAUCCCGCGGCGUAUUAGUUAGUUGGUGGGGUAAAGGCCUACCAAGACAAUGAUACGUAGCCGACCUGAGAGGGUGAUCGGCCACACUGGGACUGAGACACGGCCCAGACUCCUACGGGAGGCAGCAGUAGGGAAUCUUCCACAAUGGGUGCAAACCUGAUGGAGCAAUGCCGCGUGAAUGAAGAAGGUCUUCGGAUCGUAAAGUUCUGUUAUUAGUGAAGAACAAAUCGAGGAGUAACUGUCUCGAUUUUGACGGUAACUAACCAGAAAGUCACGGCUAACUACGUGCCAGCAGCCGCGGUAAUACGUAGGUGACAAGCGUUGUCCGGAAUUAUUGGGCGUAAAGGGAGCGCAGGCGGUUGGAAUAGUCUGAUGUGAAAGCCCACGGCUUAACCGUGGAAGGUCAUUGGAAACUGUCCAACUUGAAUGCAGAAGAGGUAAGUGGAAUUCCAUGUGUAGCGGUGAAAUGCGUAGAUAUAUGGAGGAACACCAGUGGCGAAGGCGACUUACUGGUCUGUAAUUGACGCUGAGGCUCGAAAGCGUGGGUAGCGAACAGGAUUAGAUACCCUGGUAGUCCACGCCGUAAACGAUGAGUGCUAAGUGUUGGAGGGUUUCCGCCCUUCAGUGCUGGAGUUAACGCAU